CCUGCAAGUAAUUCCAGUCCGCGACUUCAAAUUUUCUUCACUCAGUUCGAGAUAUUUGUCUGUCUUCGUCAGUCAACGGAACCAAUUGAAAGGAAUUCGAACAAGGAUCUUGUCGGUUCAUCUAGGAUCUCUCUUUUUUUCUUUCUUUGGGAAAUGGAUAAUCUUCGAAUGGAUGAAGGAUGCGAUGAAUUAACUCAUAAUCGUCUACGGCGAGAGUGCACAUCUGCGUGAACAUUGUAAAUGGAGAAUUGGAAGGAAUGUUGCGUUGCACAACGUACGAGAUGCAAGGUACAAAGAAAAAGAGAAUCAAAGGAAUCAAAAAA